GUCUGGCAUUAAAUGUCUCGGCUAUGACGGUGCAAAGACGUCUGCAUGAGGCAGGAAUACCUCAUAGAAUUCCUGCCAAGAAGGAAUUUCUCGCCGAACGGCAUCGUGCUGAUAGUCUUGCCUUUGUUCAACAGUUUGUGGGGGAGGAUAUGGAAUUAUGGUCUUGAGUCGUAUGCAGUGACGAAAGGUCUUUUACUAGCAGAAGUCACGGCAGGAUACAUAAGUGAAGACCGAGUAAUAUAAGAUACUACAGAAGAAACAUUUACGAGGUGACCAGGAAUGGGCAUGUCACAGUAAGCGUGUGGGGCUGGAUCUUCUUACAUUGUAUGGAUGAUAUCACCAGGAUUAAGUGGAGGUUCACUGGGGAAAAAUACAUUGAAAUUCUUCAGGAUUUCUAACUUCUUUCACUUCAACAGCGGAAUUAUUCCUCCCCACCUGCUCCUGUCAUUUUCAUUCACGACCGCUGCCCCAUCCAUACGGCCAGAAUAGUCCAGGAAUCUGUUUCAAGGUCGAGAGGAUCUGCAAUUGCUUGACUGGCCAAGUAAGGAUACAGACAUGAACCUCAUGAGAAUAUUUAGGCUAAUUUGGUAAAAUGUUGGAAGCCUGAGAGGGAGAGGACCACUGGGACGCAAUGGAAGGUCUUCCACAACCAACCACAGAUCGUCAGAAACCAUGAAUCUUCUAUGCCUAACAGAUUGCAAGAGGUGAUCUAAAAGGAAGGUGGCUGGACUUCUCACUAAUAUCAAAAAUAAAUGUAAAAAUUGA